UGGGCACUGUCAAAUGGUUCAACGUCCGGAA
rnacentral:piRNA from 1 species